rnacentral:lncRNA from 1 species
AGAAGUGCCCACAUCCGGCCAAAUGGGGGCUCACCAGCUGCCCGUGGACGGAGUGGGAGGAGGCCCCCAGUCUCCAGGAGGCUCCAUGCCUCAGGCUCAGACCGGCAGCUCGGGAACCCAGCUAGCAGGAUGAACUCCAGCAGAGGAACUCAGCGCCAUUGCUGCGGCUGUGGGCCAGAAGAGAAAGAGAAAGAGAAAGAGAAUCCGCCUCGGUGUGACAAGCUGUGCCUCAGAACCCGAGCAGCAGGAGAGUGGGCAGCAGGGGGUGUCUGGCAGCAGAGAGGGGCUCAGGCCUGCUGGGUGGAGCGGCGCUGGGGGACACAGAGCCUGGUGGUAGGGAGACCUCCGGAUGGAGACAGCCCACAGUCCCGGAGCCCCAAGGCAGGCACCAGUGAGUCCCUCGUGACGGCCUCGCUCCCUGCAUCACAUGGAACCUCGUGACCCACGUGACGACGCCAGUGCCCCCGUGGCCCCUUCCUGCUGCUGGACGUGAUGCAGUCAAUGGAAGCCCAGCGUGGGCUCUCCCGGCACCAGCACCGCCAGGCCCUGUGCAGGACCCCAGGGUCAUCAGGAAGGAAAUGAGGCAGCCCAAGGAGGCGGGAGACGGGGCCCUACCCAGCACCCAGCCAUCUGCAUUGACACGGCUGCCCGCAGGAUAUCACUGCCCCCAUCCCGGGGCCCACCAUUACCAGCAGGGAGAGGGAGGCAGAGGGAAGCUGGGGUCCACCGCUGGUGAGCGGGGAGGGGACGGGACACAGAACCGGCCGUGGCCCACCCCGAGACGGAGGCGCAGACACCAGGCCCGUUCUGUGCUCUGGAGGCUUUGGGCAGCUGUCAGGCUAGUGGACGGUGUGCAGAGCAGAUGGAGGCGUGAGGAGGCGGCUCCGGGGUCACCUAGGUUCAGCAGGGACAGAGCUCAGGGGGAAGGCACCUCCCGUCCUGGUUCAAUACAUGGACCCCUGACCCUGGGAAAGGGACUGAGCCAGGGGAGGCCUCAGGUCACUGCACCAUGAAGUUGUGGGGAGCUGCGGGGGCCUCUGGGCUCCGAGCUGGGCAGGCACAGCGUGGGGACCACGUGCCGAGGGGAAGAAGCGUGCCAGGGUGGACGUCUCAGUGCACACGCAGGAACAUGCAACGGCUGAGCCAGCCCAGAGAGGCAGCGGAGCGUGUGCGGGGCGGCCGGCGGAGGAGCAGCAGGAUCCCAGGCGGGAGCGCACGGCCUUUUCGGAGGCAGGUUCCAGGACAAUACUAAGCGUUUACAUCAUUGCACUAUUUGAUCCAGGAGGUCCCACUGUGGCGUUUCAUCGAUAAACGCACAUGCGAGGUGGAGGGUGGCUGGUGUGGAAUGUGCCCGGCAGCCUUCAUAGCAAAGGAGAAUUCUAGAACCAACCGAAGUGCCCCUCUGAAGGGAGCUGGUCCCGUCCGUUCCAGCCGCCGUGGAGUAACACAGCCAGCAGUUUCCCUCCUGCCACGAAAGCUCGAGACUGAAACUCAGGAUGAACUGUUUUCAGCCCGGGUCACCCCAGCCCUGGGGUGGAGGCCCAUUGAGGAUGGCCGAGCAGGGGCGGGCAUCCAGGCAGGUCCAGCAGUCCUGGCGGGCUGAGGAGAAGGAGGUCAGUGCUCAGGGAGACAUCCGCAGAGGGACCUGGCAGGCAGAGCUCCAGAAGGGAGGGAACUGCACAGACAGAAAGCUCCAGAAGGCUGCCUGAGGGCCUCUGAGGCCUCCGGAGUCAGGCGCCAUGGAUGUGGAAGGUGGACUCUUCAGCAUGGAUGGGACCCUAGGGGGCUGUGGACCCCCGGCCCCUGGGACUCACAGGUGGGAGACAGGAGUUCCAACCGCCAGGGGGAGAGUCCUGGAGGAUCCUGGGCUGUUGGCAGCCACCCAGCAGGGCCCGUCCUGGGAGUGGGGCUGGACUCUUCCUGCAGGAAAGGCUGGGCUGGACCUGCUCUGAGAGGCUUCAGAACCAGCCACACGAAGACCAAAGUGAAGAGCAAGGAGCUGAACUCCACGCAGAACACAGCGCAGCGUCCUUUAAAGGAAGGCCAAAAACAACCCAACAAAAAUGCCAGGUGAUCAAAGCGGUCACAGCACAAUGUCCACAUCCAACGAGAAAUUGCUACUACGUCCAGACGCAGGGAAAGGUGGCCGUGGGAACGUGAGUCAGCAGCAACAGGCCCAGAAGGGCAGCCACGGUGGACUUGUCAGACGUGGACCCUGAAAUGACAAUCACAGCAUGAUUUCAGGCAGGAGCCUGAAAUGGUACAGCUUUGGACAUCGGUUUGGCAAAUUCUUUUAGAGAGAAACACACACCUUCCCUAGGACCCAGCAACUCCACUCCUAAUAACCAAGUGAAAUGGAAGGAGUUGUCCUCAGCAAAACGUGUGUGCGGAAGUUCACAGUCACUUUCUCGGUGAUAACCAAGAGCUGGAAACCACUGCAACACCCACCAGCAGGUGAACGGAUUAACACACUGGGCUAGGGCCACACAAUGAGAUGCUCCGUGGCAACACAAAAUGAACCGUGGACACACACUGCACGGCGGAUGAAUAUGCAGACAUCAGGCCACGUGAAGGGAGCCAGGCCCCGAGGCGCCACGCUUUGUGAUUCAGGAAAGAAAGCACGCAGCCAAAGAGCGCAAAGAGGCUCAGAGGAGGCCCGGGUGCCCUGGAGAGACGCUGCGUCCUGACGACACAGCAUCCCUGUCCCGCAGCGGAGAUUUCCCAGAUGAAGGAUUCCCCGGCGGGAGACAGGGCCCUGCACACAGGUCCUCUGCCACGCUGCUCACCAUGCCUGUGUGUUAUCUCCCCAUGAAAAGUCACCUAGGCCGAGCAUGGUGGCUCACGCCUGUAAUCCCAGCACUUUGGGAGGUGGAGGCGUGCGGAUCAUCUGAGAUCAGGAGUUUGAGACCAUCCUGAGUAACAUGGUGAAACCCCGUCUCUAGGAAGAAUACAAAAAUUAACUGGGCAUGGUGUCAGGUGCCUUGUAAUCCCAGCUACUCGGGAGGCUGAGGCGGGAGAAUCGCUUGAACCUGGGUGGCGGAGGUUGCAGUCACAGCGUUUGCAGCGAAGCGGCUCCCAGAGCUGGGAGGAAAGCCCCGCCUGCAGCCAA